CAGUCGCCGCGGUAAUACGUAGGGUGCAAGCGUUAAUCGGAAUUACUGGGCGUAAAGCGUGCGCAGGCGGUUAUAUAAGACAGAUGUGAAAUCCCCGGGCUCAACCUGGGAACUGCAUUUGUGACUGUAUAGCUAGAGUACGGCAGAGGGGGAUGGAAUUCCGCGUGUAGCAGUGAAAUACGUAGAUAUGCGGAGGAACACCGAUGGCGAAGGCAAUCCCCUGGGCCUGUACUGACGCUCAUGCACGAAAGCGUGGGGAGCAAACAGGAUUAGAGACCCCUGUAGUCCCUGUCUCUUAUAC
rnacentral:rRNA from 1 species